AUGAAAAGCGAUGACACGGACAAAGCGAUUGCUGCUCUUGUGUCUGCGCUGUUCUUUUUCCUGUACCCGCUGUGCGCCAGCGAGCAAGAUCCUCCGACACGUCGGAGCCCGCUCAGCCUCUCGGGCUGGUGUCUUCCUCUAAUUAGUAUCUGCUCAGUGUUUGUGUCUCGGAGUAGGUCCCAGUUAAUGAGGUGCUAUUUUUGCAUCACUCUCAGGCUGGAUGUCACACUGAUUGUUGAUACGUGGCUACGGGUAGCAGAUUAAAUCAGCGCUGAGGAAAAGGGCAGCAGAAUGGGCUUCCUUCAGCCGGAACGACUGCAGCCGCGCCCUGUGGUCGGAGCGAACGCCAACAAUACGGGAAGGGAAUCGCUUUCAUUUCCAUAAACGUUCCGCUCCUCUGAUCCUGGCUGCCACAUCUCUGGAAGAUACGGAGGGGAGUCCGCUCACUCAUUUUUUUUUUUUUUUGCACAAUAAGCCACUAGUGUCAUGAGCGUAUAUCAUUAUAUCAGAAGCAUGUACCAUUGUGACCCCAUUCCAAACACAGGACUAAUUUUCACUCGGAAUUAAGAUGAGAGGACUGCUGCUUGUCAGAGGAGAUCAGUAUUUUUGUAGAUAUAGGUGAAUAAUAACUAGACGGCCUGAGGACAAGCUUAUUGGGUUUUAUUUUCCUCAUGUCUUUGCACAUAAAAAUAACUGGAGUGUGAAAUGGAAUUAAAGGAUAAUUUAUGGUAAUGCAGCAAUCAAAAUGAAGGGGACAGUGGGGGGGCGGGGAGAAGGGGGUAGUGCUAACUUGUAGUUCUUACAUGUGCCCUGCUGGCCAGGUUAUGCCCGUUCCUUUUAGACCAUUGGUUUUUGAAUCAUCACUGUUGUCGUCCCCAUACAGUAGGUCAACCAAUCACGUUUUUGAAAUAAAAAUUUAAAAAUCAGCAGUGCACAUGAAUGAAUCGGCAGAUUCAUAUAUUAAACUGCUCUCUACUACGUCAGAGACUUUGAAAAGUGCACAGUUAUAGACCUGAAAGGCUAUCGCUAUCAGCUGUGAAGGUGACAUUCUGUUAUUGAAUG